UACGGAGGGUGCAAGCGUUAUCCGGAUUCACUGGGUUUAAAGGGUGCGUAGGUGGGCAGGUAAGUCAGUGGUGAAAUCUCCGGGCCUAACUCGGAAACUGCCAUUGAUACUAUCUUUCUUGAAUACCGUGGAGGUCAGCGGAAUAUGUCAUGUAGCGGUGAAAUGCUUAGAUAUGACAUAGAACACCUAUUGCGAAGGCAGCUUACUACGCAUAUAUUGACGCUGAGGCACGAAAGCGUGGGGAUCAAACAGG
rnacentral:rRNA from 1 species